UAGAUGGAGAACUUAGAAAAAGUAAAAAAAUAUCAGACAGUGAAAGAAUGGGUGCAUUAAAUUAUAGUUGAAAGUUUUAGUGAUUGGCACUUAAAAUUAUACCAUCAGUAUGUACCGAUAACCUUUAAAAUGAAAGAAAAACAUUGUUGGACUGUGGAGAUAGUGUUGGACUGUGGAGGUUUGUACCAUAUCAAACUGCAGCAAUUAAUAACAUUUAGGAGUACAUUUGAACAAUUAAGUAGCACACUCCAGAAUUCGUUCGGUUUUGUGCAUGCCCACCUGAUCGCUAAGAGUUCCAUUUGCACGUGACCACCAUGGCUGUGCUUGAGGUCAGGCAAACAUGACGUCACAGGAAGAAACACUGCACAGCCAUGCUUGAUGGGGAUAUUUUAUUUUACAUUUUCUGAGGAGAGAUGCUUAAAAUGAUUGUUGUGUUAAAAUUGCAUAUACGAGCCUAAUGAAAUUAUUCAAAGUAAUGGGAAUAUUAAACAAAUGAAGGUAAGAUCUGAUUUGUUAAACUUCCACACCUAGAAAUAUUCGCUUAAAUGUACUUUUACUCAUUUGCUAGCAAGAGGGUUGAAAGAUAUGUUCAAGAAGAUUAGAAAUGAAAAGUGCAUUUACGCUCACACUGCACUCAAGGAAUGUGUUUUGAGUGCUGUCAUGCCACAAAGGUGGAGGAGACCGAAGUUGUUUUACUCAAAGUUAUUUAUGAGGAAAAAACACCAUCUGCAAUUCUAAAACAUACAAGAAACAGCUCAAUACUACUUAAAAACCCCUUACAUUAAAUGUUUGAGUUGUUUAUUUUUGACAAUCUAGCCCACAGUUUUAUAGUAAAACUGGGUCUAAAAAGUGACAGAUUUUAAUGCCGUCCUAAAAUGAAUGAAGUUGAUUUUUUGAGGACCUCAUUUCUCUCUAUAUUUAUUAAUAAUGAUACUACAUAGAUCAAUAGAUCACUCUUGGGGGGAAAAACACCAGCAGGACACAGAGUUAAGAAAUUAUUUGUGCCUGUAUUGUGCAACUGAGAAAGACAAGAAAAGAAAAUACUUAGAUAUGAAUGCCAACAGGAAGAAAGACGUUCAAUAAAAAUAACAAGGACAAACAUCAAUGUAGCAGUUUUGCCAGGUAGCAAUACUUACAACUUAAACAAAACACGACAGCCAACUCAUAUGUCACUUUUAUGUCUGCGUCAAGACUAAAGAAAAGUAAUUAUUGGAGGAAAUUUGCAAAGCCUUUUACUCCAAAGUGUCAUCAGCGAAAAGAGAAAAACACCUGUUAAUUGUACAACUAUCGAGGGGUCCCCGAGUGGCUCACCUGGUAAAAGUAUGCUCAUGUGGGGGGCAGAGUCAGUCAUUAGAGUAGUCAUACCAGUGUGAAUUAGCCAAUCUUUGCUGGGGAUUCCACAGGGAUUGUUGCAUUGGCUCGGCUUGGUGGCAUUGUAUUGUAUUUUAAUUUGCAUUGGAUACUGAAUUUUCUUUUUUCAGAUUUUUUUUUUCUUUGCAUUGGUAAAAAGAAAAUAUAGAAAUAUUAAAACAAAACCUGACUACUUUCUGACAAAAUCCAUGACUCAUUCUCAACGUGCCUAGGCUUUUCUCUGUUUAAGCAAGUGCAAAGGCAAGCCUAAGAGGAAUAAAACAUGUAUAGUUUUAACUACUUCUUACAAUUACUUGGGUCUGCUCCCUGGACCCACACAGAAAAAAAAGAUUUGGUGCCAUGGGUUACCAUGGGACAGGCUAGUUUAUGCUCACUGGGAGGAGGUAAUGAUAUUUAAAGAAGGGGUACUGCUCAGUUUCAUACACUAAAAAUUGUGGUAGAUAAAAACAUUGUUAAUCCUGUACUUGAAAAUUAGAUGAUAACCAUUGAAUUAACAGAACUAAAAAGUUUGUUAAUUUUGCUUUCUGAAUUACAAAUUUCAUUUUACAUAAGAAGUUAUUAAGGACAAGAGUUUCUCAGCCAUUCUGGAAAUGGACUGCUGUGCAGAGGGCUGGAGGCUCAUGCACUUACUAAAAGCUUGGUCCACAAUUAACCAACAUCUUAGAAAAAAAAGUUAGAUUUUUAAUUUUUUUGGGUGAGAGAUAAUCAAGAUACCAAGCCCAUUUUAUUGUAUCCAUUGGGUGUUGUACAGGGAGCAGGUGCAGGAGCUUCUCCCUAGUUAAUCAAGCAAUCUAUCAAUUAACCUCCCUAUUUAACACUUAUUCUCUGUCUGUUUUUUGUUUUCCACCUUCCUCCCCUCCUACUCCAAAACACAUUGCCACCUUUGCAACGGUCUCCCUCUGGGGGCAAGUGACAAUCAUUUCCCAACCUUAGGCCCACCCGAGCUUUUUCCCCAGAGGGGACCCCUGGCCAAAUCUAUCUUAUCAAUCUCUCUAUCAUUCCAGGUUCCCCCUGGGGGAAGCAUAUGCUCCCCUUCUUUGGAGGCCGAUCAGUUCGGUCUCACCUCUGAGAGGGCGGCAUCUCCCUGAGCCAGGGGACAACCCUGCACUCUUCUCAAAUCUCCAUUUUCUGUCAAUUGUUCCCCCUGGGGCCAGCAUACAUGCUCUCCCUGAGCCAGGGGGAAACCCUGUAUUCCUUACUAACAACUUGCUUUCAUCUAUGCCAGUGUUCUCUCUGUCCCCUUUGCAUGUUCAUUUCAUUUUCUCUUUCAGAAUUCCUGUCGCCCCAUGUGGCUCUGUCUCGAAGGUCAGCCGUGCCGAUCUCCCGAAGCCUUUUCAUGCUGCUAUGGUUACGAGGUUGGCCUAUAUUCAAAACGAGGAAACAGAAAUGCAAUUGAAAGAGUGGCCAGUCACCGCUGAGGCAGGUCAGCGCUGCCAGAGGUUGUGGUUGGAAGCUGUUAAUGAGUAUUGCAAACCCCUUAAACAUAAUAAGCUGUGCUUCACCUCCAGGUAAUUUCUUUCACAUGUCUCUUUCAGUCUUGUAAAAGCCAGAGGUACUUUAACAUGAGUGACAACCUAUACACACAGGUAAUAGAACUGUACAUUACAAGAGGGGAGCACUGGAACACUUUUUCAAAAUAAAUCUACGGAAUCUUUCAGUGUAACAGAAAUUGCAGCCACAAAACAACAUCGAGCAAUUUGCAAAUUGAGGAGAAUAUGAUUUUCUUAUGUUUAUGUGGGAUUUUCAUUAUAAGAUUUCAUUAUAACUUUUUUUUUUUUUUUAAUAUUGAAAAGUCCAACACGCACAAUUAAUUUUGCUUUUAUUUAUGUCUCUAAACAAAUAUUCCAGGAUUAUUUAGGUUUGGAAAUGUGCAUUCAAUAGUUUCGUACAGUAGUCAAAAAAUAUCAACAGACAAUACCUUUCCAUUACUUCGUUUACAUGGGGAAUGCUUUAGUGCACAUGAGAAUCUCCAACAGAAUUCACACUUUCCACACAUUUACAUGAAGACGGAAGAAUUUUAAAUGACAAUUACUUAGGGUGUAACCUCACAUUUAAACACACAGGUGAAAGAGCCACUGUUUGAUGCUUUCUUCUUGUUCUAUUUGCAGGUAUUCCAAAAACUCAGAGAUCAGAAAAAUCAAGUAUUCACAAAAAGUAUACAUGGUAAAUGAACCCAAUGCUCUAAUAUUAAUUUGGAAUAGUUGGGGAAUAUUGAAUAUGCACUAUUUGGAAUACUGAUAUUACAAAUACUGUUCACAUUUCUGAAUAUGCCAUUUACAUGAGUGUAAUGAACAAUGUAAUAUCUGUGAGAAAGUAAAAAUUUGAGUGAUAGCUCUAAAAUUCAAACACGUCUAUCAUAAUGCACCUCACAAGAGACAUAUAUGCCAGGAAUAGAACAGGAAAAAGACAGGAACACUGGCAACAAGCAUUAUGGUAAUGUGAAUUGUGAGCAGUAGGUCACAAUAAAUAAUAAUAUUUUAUUUCACACAUAUAAAACAAUUCAGCUUUGUUGCUUGUUUCUCAUUUUGCAAGACAAGGCCUUUGUAAGUGGCCAGACAAUGGCUGAGAAAAUAACAGACACUUGAGACUAGUGUCAGCCAGAGAUUGGAAAAAGUCACAGAGCAGUUCUUAAUGUAUUGCUUCAGAUGCAGAGGAAAUACCUGAAUACUUUAACUGCACUUUGCGGCAAAAACAUACAACAAAAUAACCUUAAACGCCUUAUAAUGAUGUUUUUAUAGUUGUAGUAGUUUGACUCCAAAAUUAAACAUGUUAAUGAAUAAAUAAGCACCUGUAAAUGACCCUCAUAAAUUACUUGUUAAUAAGGCAGUUGUGGGGAGCUUCAGAAAUAAACACAUUUCCGCAGUUUUCCUGUUAGAGAGAGUGUGGGAGCUGGGUGAAGAGAAACAAGAACCCCUUUGUACCUGUAAAAUGUAAUAAAUAAAAACACAUUUUCAUCAAGGGGUUUGGAAAGUACCAUAAUGGCUGUUUUUCUUUGCCACCUUAUAAAAUGUUAUAUACACGUGACAAGGGAGAACCAGAAAGUUACAGAAAAAGUCCAAUGGAGCAUGAUGUGUUUUACUGAACCAUUUAUUUUGACUUCCAAUUGGCUAUGCUAAGAGAGCUUUUAUUGUGUACAUAUAACACAAUUUCAUGGCAGUAACUGGCAAGUUAAUACAUCUAUUGGCAAGAUCCUUUUCAUGUAGCACAAUUUACUGUGUCUAUGUAUUUCACACACACUGAUGAUAUAUGCAGAAGCUAAGCCAAGCAUACCAGCACUGCAAUGAAAAUGUUAACAAGAGCACACGUUUAGCCAUUUAACAAGUUGAAUUUGCAUUAAGACUGGUUUAAUCCCAGAGGAGUCCUUUAGAAAUCAUUGCCUAAAGCAAAUUUUGCAAUCUGGGAACUCUGAGAUAGAAGGCAGAGCCACCUGCACUGCAUGACAGUAUAAUAUGCUCGACCCUCCCUGACAGGACAUUAGUCACCAGAACAAAGUAUUGACCAGAUCAGUUUAAAUAAGUGGCAGAGUAACAGAAAGAAAAUCUGCAACAACUUUGCACCAGAGUCUGGUUCUAAACAUUCCUUCACUAGGGGAUAUAAUCAAACAUGCUGACUGUUUAGCGUUCCUCUGCACACCUGCAAAGCAAUAGCACCAGAGCAAAACGAAUUUUAGUGGGAAACAUAUUUGUUUCUCAUAAAUUCAAUGGAGCAUCUGUAUGUUAUUGAAAAUGCAUUUGAACUGAGUACAAUAAAGAGCGCAAGCAAACACAUUUGUACGCCAUUGCAUUUAAAUAUCCUGCAAAUUGCGGUUGUAUUUGUGAUUAAUAGAUAAUUUUACAAAACUCCACAAAGUUCGGCAUGUACAUGUGUUAUGUAACAAAAGGGCUGGCUGUCUCAGUCCGUUUGAGAGGAAUGUUGUUCACAUCACAAAAAACAUCAUCCCAAUUAGUAUAAAUGGUUGUCAGUCUGUCAGAGAGGCCAACAAUAUUACGUUCACGGAACCUGAACUGCUUUCUCAGGGGGAUUCCUCACAGGGUGGCCCCCAAAGCAGUUUUGAGGCACAUUGCUGGGGCAGAUUUGAGACGCUUGCUUUGCUUCUGUUUGUGCUGUCCUGGCUGUGUGGAUAAGUAAAGGACUUCAGGUUUCCCAGUGCCAGUGAUCUCAUACUUUCAUCACUUCUAUAACAAACACACUUUUGCAACAAAAGUAGUUGUGUUCUACUGUAGUCGAAAAACUGAUACCAAUACUAGGGUUAUGUACCAAUAACCGUUUAUGAGAACCGUUGUUUUUUUCUGUGCAAUGUUAGCAGAACAACAAUUUAACAAGGGAAAAAAACAUUGCUGUCAUAGCAGUCAAGUAACUGUUUGGCUUCAAGAACAACAUGAAAGUCAGUUUCAAGGAUGUUUCCCAACAUUCAAAAUAAACUGAAACAUAGCAAGGUUUGCUAUCUGAUGAAGAAAAUGCACAAAAGGUUAAAUUAUGGAAGAAUAUAAUAAACUGACACCAAAGUCAUAUUUUCAUCUUAAGUUGAAAAUGCUUUGUGAGAUACUUUAAUAUGUCUAGAUAGAAUUAUUGUACUGUGCAGACCAAUGCAAUGGCAAGCAUUGUUGUCAUAAAAUACAAGAGUGUGGACUUAACAACCACCAUUGUAUACUUUUAAAAAGAGGGCUGGCAGAGCUUUGGGUGUGGUUUAAAAACUAUAAUACAGCCUCUUCAAGCUGAGGGCUAAAUGUUAAGGCACACAAGCACACUGCAUACCAAGGUACAAUGGUCAGGCUCAUGGUUAGAAGGCAGAAGUCACAAAUUCAAGAUAGAAAGCUCAAGGCAGUGCGUUUGCCUCCACUCCCAAAUGGGCCCACCAAAACUAUAAUUUGUAGCUGUUUAAAAGCAUACUUGCAGUCUGCCUCUGUAUCUAAAAAUGGCAUCAAAGGCAUCUGCCUCUUCCUUCCGUGAAUCCUAAAGCUAGGCCCUGCAGCUCUUUUACUCAUGAAUGGACAAAAGAUUUUUAGAAACAGGAUACUGGUAAUUCAUAUUUUUCGGAAGUAUCAUUAACAUUAAAAUGACUUUCAUUUGUUUUUUGUUUGUUAGCAUUUUUAUUUUUUGUUGUUUCAGCCACAUUGCAUUUCAAGAACUGCAUUUUUACUGAGAAAUAAAAGUGAAUAAUAUGCAGCGUAAAAUCUAUAUUAACCCAGAUAUGCCUGAAUUGUAAUUCCAAGUGACCUAUGCUAUGCUAAGCAGCUGAGCCAUAACCAGAUAUGCAUGAAUGUAGGUAGGAAGCCAUCUGUAUAUCAGUUAAAUAGAUACGUUUCAUAUGCACAGAACAGUAUAUAAAUAUUUAAACUUAGCAAAUUCAGUUGAUAGGACGUGCUUGAUUUUUGUCUGCCUUUCUCCUGCCUUAACAACAUCAGAUAUUUAAUGCAAAGUAUGUAAAGUGAUGUGGUCUUGAAAUCUAAAUGCUAUCUAGUGCAUUUUUUUUUUUUAAUUUAGUCGUUGCCAAUCAGUUUUUAUUAUUUUCUCCCCAAUUUGAAAUGCCCAAUUAUUUUUAGGCUCAGCUCACUGCUGCCACCCCUGCGCUGACUCAGGAGGGGCGAAGAUGAACACACGCUGUCCUCCGAAGCGUGUGCCAUCAGCCGCCCGCUUCUUUACACUCUGCAGACUCACCGUGCAGCCGCCUCAGAGCUACAGCGUCGGAGGACAACGCAGCUCUGGGCAGCUUACAGGCAAGCCUGCAGGCGCCCGGCCAGACUACAGGGGUCGCUGGUGCGCGGUGAGCCGAGGACACCCUGGCCAACCUAACCCUCCCUCCCCACGGACGAUGCUUGGCCAAUUGAGCGCCGCCCCCUGGGAGCUCCCGUCCACGUUCGGCUGUGGAAUAGCCUGGACUCGAACCGGCGACGUCCAGGCUAUAGAGCACAUCCUGCACUCUAGCGAGUGCUUUUACUGGAUGCGCCACUCGGGAGACCCCUCUAGUGCAUUUUUAAACGUAAGCUAGCAGCAAGUUACAUUUUAUAUAUAUGCUGUAUAUAUACACACACAUAUACAUAUACAGAAUGAAUGGGUGAAUUAUGCUGCAAUGCUAAGCAGAUGCAGAGCUUGAUUUUAAGUAAUUCUUCGAAUUCAGCUGUUUAAUUUAGGUAAAACAUCUUUCUCCAUACAUUGUAUUUGUUAUAAAAAAGAAUAUUCCAUGAAUGUUCUUGGAGUUCUGUGGUAAUGUCACUCAGAAUAGCCGUAAGCAACUCGUGGAAUAACAGAAAUACUAGCUGAACAUUCCCUGUCUAUCCUAUGUAAUAUAAUGUAUAUUUUUCUAUAAUUCACAUGUUGAAAUACUUCCAUUAAAUUAAUUAUUUUUAAUGGGUUUUUUUUUUACCUAAAGAAAUUACAUCACAAUUAUGAAUUAUUCAAUACAGGGUAAUACAGUACAAUUCAAACCCUCAAAAGCCCUCAAACAAACAAACCAAAAAAAAUCACUUGAGACAGUCUUUCAGACAUCAUGUUAAGGGUCUUCAGGUAAGCUUAUUAUCUAGCUCAAAUUCUUAGGAAGAAAAUAAUGUUUGAAUUGGUUAGUAAUGAGGACAAAUACCUUGCACAUGUUAAGUUUACAAGCUGGCUUACCUGUCACUUUGAACACAUAACCUGGCAUGCCUCAAGGUAAAUUUUUCCCUAAAUUGUAUUUAGCAAGCUAUACAAGCAUGCAAAAUUCCAAGUUUAAAAAGGUCUGUUCCUUCAUUUGUACUGUGAAAUGUAACAUGAUUUAUUUCAAAUAAUAAACCUCUCUCUCUAAUCCAGAACAGACAUGUUCCUUUCUGCUGAAACUGUCUGAAUGCAGAGCAUUCUUAAAGACCACUAAUAACACACUUAUGUUGAUAAGAGAUGGAAUUGAUUAGUUGCUAUCUAUGUGGUCCUUUCACAUAAUUAUUAAUGCCAUUUUGUUUGCACAUUUACUUCCUAAAUAUUCAGAUGUGCUGUGACCGCACUCUAUCAGUUAAGGAUGUCUGUUGGUGACAACAUUGUAAAACGCUACAGAACAAUGCCACUAGCAAAAAUGCAUUCCUUUUGCAUAAGCUAACUUAAAUAGUUUCAUAUAUAUAUAUAUUAAAAAAUGAACUUUUUCAUUUACACCGAACAACCCACAAGAACAUGUUUUUCUGAUUUAAUACCUCACAUAAAGAAGCACUAACUCAACUGGGUGCCUUGCACAUCCACAUUUGAUUGCUGUAUAAUAAUAUUGUUAGAUUCAGCAGCUAUCUGAAUAGAACUACUGUAUUUAAUGGAGUUCAAUGACCUGUUGCAGUCCCAUGGUACUACUUUUCAAUAGCGUUUGAACCAAUACAUAUUUUCAAUGGGUCAUACUUGUCACUGACACAGGAGGACGGAAAAGUCCAAAUGUCAGUCAAAGUCCUGACACAGCAGCAUGUGUUUUGACCCCUACUGGUGGUUCAUCAUGUUAUAAGGCUUUUUCAAGAGUUAGGAUUAGUUCCUAAACAAUUGUAGGAUAAAAAGGUAAAUCCCUUCUCAAUAGUAAAGGAAAAUGCACCUUUUUUCUGCUGCCCUCUACCUUUCCACUCACCUUUAAAAUACCAAGUUAAUGAAGCACAGUCAUUCUGAGAUCUGAAAUUAUUAUUCCUCCCAUUGCCUUUUCUACUGAAUGACUAAUAAUUGCAUUAAAAACAAAUACAUUGAUAAAUAAUUGCCUAUUUAACAUAGUAUUUCCCACUCAUCAAAGGGGUUUCAGUAUUUAACUAUAAACAUCAUCAACUUGUGUAAAUUGUUUGGAAAAAAAAAACACAAUCUGGCAAAAAAAAAAAGGGAUUUAGUAAAAAUGUGCAUCGGGUGCAAAGAGUAUUAUAUUCAGUACUAUGUAGAGCUCCCUGUGAGCUUUACACACAUCACUCUAGCUGCAAACUCUGCUACCUGCUUGACAUUUCUAGCAAUUUCUCUGGUCAGCCACCAAAUAUACUUUCAAGUUUUCUAUGGGAACGUCACAUUGCUAUGGACUCAACCAACACUAAUGCUUGAACAGAAAAAAACAACCACCUGGUGUGUCAAAGAAAAUCAUGGUAAACCAGGUCUUCAUAUAGUAUGAUUGAAAUGGGUAUUACAAAAUGUAUUUACUAUUCCAUUAUUCUGCAAACAUCUUGUACAUAAAUAUAUUUUAGAAAAUGGCUUGACAAAUAAAUAAAUAAAUAAAUAAAUACAUAUAUACAUACAUACAUACAUAAAUAAAUAAAUAAAUACAUACAUACAUACAUAAAUAAAUAAUAAAGUCUUUAGGUAAAUGGGAUUUUAUACAAAGCACAACAUUCUGUUUUUUUUUUACAACUCAUGAAUACAUUUAAAUGUAGAUUUACAGUGUUUCCCAGAUUGUUCUGUGGGAACAAGGAAUCAAGCAAGGACCAUGACCACACUAUGAAUAUCCAACACACCCUACCCCACACCCACUACCUGCUGUUAAAAAUACACCAUACAUUAAGUUUCAGGCCAGAUGUAAAGCUGCCCAGAGGUCCCUCAGAUGUUUGUGCUCAUGGGUCACGUGGGGGCACUAGAAAGAAGAUGGGAAAUUAUCAAGGAAUUUCAGAGGUCAGCUCUGCACAAAAAUUGUGAUAAUUGCACACAUGUCAAGAGAAAACAAAGACAGGUUUUGCUCAGAAGUCUGGCAAUCAAGUCUAUGGAAAUCCAGGAGAGAUGCUGGUGUUUACCUAAAGGAUCAGAACCCAGAAUACAUUAUCAAUAUUCUUCAAAUACAGUAAAAAAUAAAAUGUUUAUAAGUGAAUCAAAUUCCAAUAGCUGUGUACAAAGUUAUCCAUUUUUAUACGUUUGCCUUGAAUUUUCAACAGAACUCAGUUACAGACUAUAAAGUUUUUACAUUAUUUGUUUUCUUGAAAUACGUCUAUAAGAUGUUAGAUGUUAGGUCAUCUAGUGUAUUUCUGUCUAUAUAACUGUACAUAACACCAAAAAGUGUCCUGUUUUAAUGAUUUAGAUAUAUAAAUUGAUUUGAGCCCUCUGUCUUAAAUAUUCAAAUGAAAAGAUCAUUGUAUUUUAAAUGGGUUAUUUAAGUAAGAAUGUUUAGGUAGUUAAAGAAAUGUAAAUAAAUAUAUUGUUCUCUGAUGGUAUCAUUUGAGGUUUUUAACCAUUUUAUCCAGCUACUCCUCUAGGACAUGUUUGAGAAUGUCUUAUCCUGGUACACAAUAAAUACAUAAAUAAAUACAUUGUAGGCUAAACCCAAUUGUUUAUUUUGACAUGCCUUCUUUCUCUCUUCCUUUCCCACUAUCUACAUUGCAAAUCUUAAGGACGUUAUUAUGAUUCCUGUACUUGGCAUAUCUGAGGCCCAUUUGGAACACCAACACCAUCAAUCACAAAGCAUAGGGCCGACCAGCUGGAUGAACCUUGGUUGUCAUGCAGGGUUAUUUGUCAUCUGGGCAUGUCUGCUUGGCAUAUGACACUUGUUCAGUCCCAGAACAAUUUUCUCUCUCCCCCAAAAUAUUCCAUUUGAUUCAGGAAACACGUGAUUAAUAAAAGGACAAGGGUUUAAAGAUGGAGGUCAAGGCCAAGAGUCUUAACCAAACAAGACUGCUUACUCAUGUUUGCCUCAGCAUUCAAAAAUGUACUUGAAGAACUGAAGAGAAACGAAUGACUGUUCUUGGGCUGCAUCAGCUUGCAUUCGCUGACAGUGCUUUUAACCUGACCGCUGACAAUGAUCCCUUUUGUUUUGCCUAUCUGUGCCAAUUGUAGUAAAAAUCAAACCUACAGGUUUUAUAAAAGUUUUAAAAGACAUUUAAUCUAUUAGCCUGUAAUGAUUAGAACCAUUAAAAGCUCUCCAAUCCAGUUGCUAUUGACACAUCUAGUAACAAAGUAUUUCUGUAUGUUAAAGAACAAAAUAUAAUAUAAUCAUUCUUAAGGGUUUAUGAGUCAAUAAAGGCUCCUGCACGCUCAUUAAAUAGGAACCUGGUCAAAAACUACUGAUUACUUUUGUUUUUGCUCAUUUUCUUCAAGUUUGGUUGAAUUUAAAAUCAGCUGACCUUUUUAUGAGCUUAAAUCUCAAUUCUAUUUUUGUUCUGUCUGCAAACAUUACAGCCAAUAUGAAGCCAGCAGAAUAUUCAAUGGCUGUGAUUAUGAGAACAGAAAAUCUGCAAAUGUGGGUAUGAAACCAGUUUACUAGAGUAGUUUUGAAUUACUAUUCUAUGAAGUCUUUGAUAAUAGUUACUUUCACCUAUUUAUUAACUCAUAAAGAUCUGGUAGUGACACAAAUUGGAGGUGAAAUGCACAAGAAUAUAAAUUAAAUGAAACCUUGGGGUUAUUUUGAAAAGAAACCCUUUAAACACAUCCCUUAUUUUGUUUGACCUUGUUACAGAUGUUCACCUUAUUUACAGAUGUUUGCGUUCUUUAUUGUUUUUCUCAUCUGUAUAUUCUUUUUUUCCAGUAUUUUGUUUAACAGGUUUUUUAAGAACAAAACUGACUGGGAGAGAAGACUGGAGUACCCUCCUCCUGGAUCUAUCAGAAUCCAGUUGUGGUGUCAUGUUUUUUUGUGAGGUAUUGGGGUCAGCGCGUAGUACACCUCACAAGCUUUCUUGGCAAAUUGCAGAUGGUUUGUUUUAUGAAAUAUGUAUAUAAGUAAGGUAUAAACCAUGAAGGCUGUGCGGUUCUCAUGAAAUAUAUGCACGCCUAGGUGGUGAUUACAACCGAGAUGAAGCCAGCAGCCUUUAACUGCCCAGGUGUUUGUAUAUUUCAUGGCAGCCACAUGGCCCAAAGUACCACUUAUAAAACUUCUAUUUCAAAGCAAAUUGUCAUUUGGGGAAAGAAAAAUAAUUUAAAUUUAAAAAACAAGAAACUUUUAUUGUGCAUUUUAUCUGCAGUGUUAUAUAGUUCCAAAGGGCAUAUUGUAUUUAAGAAUUUCACUUGUUAAAAAUAAACUGCACAUUUCCAUUUAUUGUGAAGUUCUGCAUUGAAAGCGGUAUCUCAAAAGUAGAGGGUGGAGCACAAGCUGAUGAUGUGGAUGGUCUGGGCGGUGUUUCAAAUGAAACUGAGGAAGGAAGUAGAGCAGCUGCGAAGUAGAGAAGAUGGAUUUCGAGGUGAGUUUGAUGAUAAAAUUGAAUUCCACUCUUUCCUGUAUUGCAGUGUUGCAGUCUAGUAGCUUAGCAAACUGCUUUCAGAUCGAUUUCCAGUUACAGACAUUAUUUCCAUUGUGCCAGGUUAAACUGAAGAUCAAGCCAGACUUGCGUGAAAGUGCCUCAGAUUCCCACAGGAACUUCAAAGCCAAGUGGGGGGUGGUGUUUGGUUUUUUCUUUACCAGCUUUUCUGAAAGUUUUCAUGACUGAAGGGAAGACAUUAUUGCUGUGUGACGGGGUACUACCCCGUCUUUAUGAUCAUGGUUGGGACUGGCAGGGAGGGGGUUAAAAUUCCUCCCUGCAAGGAAAACAUGUGAGAAUGUGGCUGGAGCCCUAAUUGACUAAUCAGUAAUUAUUGAAUAAUUGGGCUCCAGCCACAGGGAAUAAAAGCCAGGGGAGAGGCCCUGGCUGGGGAGAGAGUUGUAGAGAGAGUAGGAGAAGGAGAGUUCCAGAAGAGUGUUUUGUUUGUGCUGUGUCUUUGUAAGUUUUUGGUUCCAGUGAAGGCAACGCCCAGCCUGGAAACUUUAUUUUGUAAGUUUUUGAUUUGUGUUGGUAUUUUGUGUUUGAAAUCUUUUUGUUUGGCCCUUGUGCUGGUUUAUUUUGUAUUUUUGUUUAUUAAAAAUCUUUAUUUUGAACUUUA